UACGGAGGGGGCUAGCGUUGUUCGGAAUUACUGGGCGUAAAGCGCACGUAGGCGGAUCAGAAAGUCAGAGGUGAAAUCCCAGGGCUCAACCUUGGAACUGCCUUUGAAACUCCUGAUCUUGAGGUCGGGAGAGGUGAGUGGAAUUCCGAGUGUAGAGGUGAAAUGCGUAGAUAUUCGGAGGAACACCAGUGGCGAAGGCGGCUCUCUGGCUCAAUACUGACGCUGAGGUGCGAAAGCGUGGGGAGCAAACAGG
rnacentral:rRNA from 1 species